rnacentral:rRNA from 1 species
UUGGAGGGCAAGUCUGGUGCCAGCAGCCGCGGUAAUUCCAGCUCCAAUAGCGUAUAUUAAAGUUGUUGCAGUUAAAAAGCUCGUAGUUGAAUUUCGGGAUUAAUUUAUCGGUCGUGCUUUUGUACGUACUGGUAUUAUUGAUUCCUACCUUCUGACGAACCAUGAUGUCAUUAAUUUGGUGUCUUGGGGAAUCAGGACUGUUACUUUGAAAAAAUUAGAGUGUUUAAAGCAGGCUCACGCUUGAAUACAUUAGCAUGGAAUAACGAAAUAGGACGUUUGAUUCUAUUUUGUUGGUUUCUAGGAUCGACGUAAUGAUUAAUAGGGAUAGUUGGGGGCAUUAGUAUUCAAUUGUCAGAGGUGAAAUUCUUGGAUUUAUUGAAGACUAACUACUGCGAAAGCAUUUGCCAAGGAUGUUUUCAUUAAUCAAGAACGAAAGUUAGGGGAUCGAAGACGAUCAGAUACCGUCGUAGUCUUAACCAUAAACUAUGCCGACUAGGGAUCGGAUGAUGUUAAUUUUUUAAUGACUCAURRCGGCGCCUUACGGGAAAC